AAAUUCAUUUGGGUUCAGCACUUAUUUGUUCGGUAAUUUUCAUUGUCUUGUAGAGAGUAUAAAUACUGGCAACAUAUCUAGAAUUGGUCAGAUUCAUCACUAAUUUAUUGCGAAUUAAUUUCUUCUCCUUUUCUCGGUUGAUUCGCUAGAAGUUUAACCUCAUCGAGCAUCAUGAAGACGUUCCAGCUUUCUGUUAUUCUCUUCGUAUCCAUCUGCCUCCUGAUAAGCACAGGACAAUCUGAAGCACGCCGCCAUGGUCUGUCUAAGGAUAAUAUGGCAAAAGAGAAUUCUCUGCAUCCUCGUGAGAAGCGAUCUUCAUCUUCAUCUUCAUCUUCAUCUUCUUCUUCUUCAUCAUCUUCAGAAUCUGAUUCUGAUUCAGCAGAGGUAACGACCGCCGCUCCCGCUCCUUAGUACUGAUGACAGUGCAGACAGUGAUACUAGCGAUUAGCCAUCAUCUUGGUUCAAGGCAACUGCGGUGACUCAAUGGAUCCUUGAGGAACUCAAUCUUAAAAGGCUCUUAACGGCUCAUGUUAACUAUAUAACAUGCCCCUCUCACUUUUAAUAGCCCCCCCCCCCUCCCCUCUAAAGUGACACUACUCACGAGACAAAGCUCCUGCAUGGAUUCACAUCCGGGAUAGUUGUUUGAUCAUGUGGUUCACCCUUUUGACUCUUGGGUCGUAUUGACCCGGAACCGGUCCGAUGUGACCUCUUCAUGGUCAGAUCUUACCUUUUCCAUGUCACAUAGACAAUUUUUCAUGUCAUUUUCAAGAAAAUAUUGUUAAAAUAUCCAAAAUAAAAAAUUUGUCAACUUCCUAAUCCUCUUUUGGAAUCAGACGACUAGUCAGACAAUGCUUGCAUAAAAUUAGCCUUAUUCCCCAUCAUUCAUCUUCAUAAUUAUACGCAAUGAGUAUAUUUUUAAUUAGUUUCAUUUUGUUAACGAAAUAUGCCGUAUUCAUUCUUUUCUUUGGAGGGAGUUAGGGAGGGACUUUCUUUAUCUUUCUCUCCCUCUAUCUCUCUAUUCUCUCUCUCUCUUUGCUGUUGGUUUUUUUCUUUAUCCUGUAUUCCAAGACACAUAUUAAGAACCGUAUUAAGAUUAAAUUGAAGUUCAAACA